ensembl:snRNA U2 U2 spliceosomal RNA
AUCACUUCUCGGCCUUUUGGCUAAGAUCAAGUGUAGCAUCUGCUCUAUGGUGAUGUCUUCUCCCUAGUUCUGACUGGUGAUCCAUUCCUUUCUCCCAUGUAUUGAUUCUAACCAGAAUUUUAUUUUCAUCCUUGUAAAAAUGAUUGGCUUAAUUUCUCUGUCAGUUUUUGAAAGUAGAAGCUCAGAUAAC